rnacentral:rRNA from 1 species
UUCUGCAUCGACUACCGCGCCCUGAACGCGCUCACGCUCAAGGACAAGUUCCCUAUACCGGUGGUCGACGAGCUCUUGGAUGAGCUCCAUGGGGCGCGCUUCUUCACCAAGCUCGAUCUCCGGUCGGGCUAUCAUCAGGUGCGUAUGCAUCCCGACGACAUCGCCAAGACGGCGUUUCGCACCCACCAUGGCCACUUCGAGUUCUUGGUGAUGCCCUUCGGCCUCGCCAACGUUCCAGCGACUUUCCAGGCCCUGAUGAACGACGUCCUCCGGCCCUACUUACGGCGGUUUGUGCUUGUUUUCUUUGAUGACAUUCUUAUCUACAGCGCCACCUGGGCCGAGCACCUCCAGCACGUCGCCAUCGUCUUCAACGAGCUUCGGGCGCACCACCUCCACCUUAAGCGCUCGAAGUGCUCGUUCGGGACACCUACCGUGGCCUACCUCGGCCAU